UAUUAUAUAAAUCUGCCUAUAAAUAAUAUUACAUUUUUAUAGUAAUAACAAUUUAACCCUGCUACUGUAAGUAAACUUUUAUCAAAGAGCUAAUUUAAGUUUAAUACAAUAUUUAAUAUAAAAAUUUUGUACAAUAUAGCUUAAAAUAAUAUUUAAAAAAAUUUUUACAUUAAAAUAGUAUUAGUUCAAUUAUUUUAACAUCUUACACUGAAAAAAGAGUCUCGUUAAAUUAAUUAGAAAUCUGGUAGGUUCGACCUUACGGUUCAAAUUCUAGUUACCUACCAGAUUUCCAAUUAAUUCAACAAGACUCUUUUUUUCAGUGUACAACUUAUAUAGUUAUAGGGUAUUAAACACAAAAAAUGUGUACAAAAAGUUAUUAAUUUUAUGAAUAAAUUUUCACCCAAAGUAAUGUUAAUAUUAUGUUAAAUGUUAAUAUAAAAAAUACAAGCAUUCCCAGGCAACUGUUAGCUGCUUAAAUACUUGCGCAUUUUUAUAUCAUUUUUAUUUAACAAUAAUAAAAAACUUCAGAUAAAAAAUCAUCAAAAAUUGAAAUCGUAAUUUUAAUGGAUUCAAUCUUUGAUGGAAAAAAUACAAAUUGAUCUCUAAUAAUUGAAUUAAUAACAAUUAAGAGAUAUUUAAAUUAAAGUAAAAUAUAUAUUUCUAUAUUUUCAAUGUUGCAUGCUAAUCAAAAAUUUACCGACAUUAUAAUGAUUUCAACCGUAUCUUUAAUGUACUAUAUAUAUUUAUGUUAGACAAUAUCUCACGAGGAAAACAUUGUAGAUUAUUCAAUAAAUAUCAUUUUCUCCGAUUUUUUAGUGACACGAAUAAUUUACUGCGUUUUUUUAACGUACAAAACGUAGUCGAAGGCACGAAGUGAUUUGAGGUGAUUAACAUCAGAAUCGUUACGUAAAUGCAAACCUGUAGUAGGGAUAACCUUCACGUGCGAGCGAAAAAAAGAGUAAAUGCGUGCUAUCAGGUCAAGGAAGAAGCUAAAGAAUGAACUGUUCUCACUGAAAGGAUAAAACGUAUCUCGUGGUACGGAAAGUAUGAUUGAACUAAAAAGUCACGUGUACCUGUUGACAUUUUAAAAAAUGUGUCGCAAAAUUUUAUAAAUCAAUCAUUAUUAAUUGUAAAUAAAAUAUUCUACAAUAAUAUUAUUUACUAUUAGCUUGGCUCAUUAUAUACGUAUUCUAUUAUUUGUUAAUUUAAAUUUGUUAAUUUAGCAGUUUAAAAAAGCUAUUAGUUUAUUAAUAGAAAUAAAAUUUAAAAUUAAAUGUUAUUAUUCUUAAAAAGAUAGUAGAAUUUCUUAAGCAAACAGUUUUUAUUUUAUUUAUUUAUUUAUUAGAUCACACGUAACAAAAAUAACAAUAAAAUGUAACGAAAAAGCAGAAAUAAUUCAACUUUCCUUUUUUCUCAAUAUGUAAAAAUAUUAUAAUAAAAGAUAUAUCCGCAAAUGUUUCAAACAUUCAAUAUUUUCGUAAUUUUAUCAAAAUAGUUAUUAAGUUAUCUAAUUACAUAGAGAAAAGUUACCUAAGUACAGCUUUCUUAGAGUAACAUUCCUUUAUUUCUCGAAAACUGAACAUUGCACUAUUAAUACUAAUAAAAACAUAAUCUGCUAAGAUAAUUAAAAAAAUUAAAACCUAUAGUUCUUAUACUUAUGGCUUUUUUCUAUAUAAAAUUUACUAAAAACAAAUCUAACCUAAUCUAUCUAACUUUUAUACAUGUCGCACUACAUUUUGCGAAACAGCAUGAGAUAUUUAUAUAAUCGAUAAAAAAUAUUUUACAUCGAAGUGAAAGAUUGCCAGAAAUCCUCAUAUACAUUAAUUUAUAAAUAUUUAUAAUUUACACAUUUUGUACAAAUAAUUCACAACAAAUAAUUGUACAAAUAAAAAUGAAAAAUGUAAAAAAAAAGAGAAGAAAUAUGCCUGUUAUACCAAUUUUGAGAACCAAUUUCUCGGAUGUUCAUUUAUGUUGCAAAAACAUUAAUUAUUAUAAAACAGUAUUAUAAUAUAAAAACUACUAUUCCAUCUAAAAGAUAAAAGACUGACAGAAAACAUUUUCUAGUUUGUAUGUAUGUUUUCAAAAUUUUAUUUUUAGCUUUUGUUUAAGAAAUACAGUCCGAAAAUAAAAUGGUGUGUUGGUAAUUUUCCUCUAAUAUUUACGUAUGUUUUUUCUUUAAAAUGUCUUUCAUUUUUUUAUAAACAAUACAAUACUCUUGAUCGAUACUCUUUUAAGAGAAGGAAAAGAAUUUAGUAGAUAAAAGUGUUGCAAUCAGCAAUAACACAGAAGCUUCGAUAGCAAACACAAAAGAUUGUAACAUACUCACAAUGAUAUAUUGACGUGACACGCGAAUUACAAUUAUAAUAAAACGCACAAUUAUUUUCGAGAAAGAAUUAUCUCAUAUCGCUCACAGAAAAAUGUUUCAUGAUAUAUACUCUCUGUAUCUCUUCAUACAGAAAUCUCGGUUAUUUAUAGAGGAUAUUUGCAUUUUUUACAUUUCUUAUGCAGAACAACGACGUUGAAGACGGUGCCAAUGACAAUAGCCAUGCAAUGUGCAAUACAUAUUUCUUUUUUUUGCAUUAAAACACAAUUUAUACUUUACAUUGAAAUAUUUAAAGGUCAUUGGUAAUUAUUUAAAAUAAAAACAAAGUAAAAAUAAGUAUAUAAUAGUAUGAUGAAAAAAUGCGAUCUGCGAUUUACAAAUGAAAAUGAUUACUUCAUUUACAUCAUUCUUAAUUUAAAAAGUACGUAAACAAUCUUCAUAUUACUUAUUUUUCACAUUUAGAUUGUUUCGUCGCAUUUUGUUCUGUACUUCGUGAUGCAAUUAUUUAAAAUUUCUUUUAAAUUAAAUAAAUCCUAAAAUAAUCCUAUACAUCGAAUACAUCUUCUAUAGAACAAACAUUACAAUUGUUACUCGUUAAAAAUUUCUAACUAUAACACAUUACAUUCUAUCGUAUUUCAUUGAAAGAACUUAUUUGUAUCAAAAAUGACGUAAUUUUAAGUUUCAAAAUACCAAUUGAUCUAUACGGAUUUUAAAUUUAUACUUUCCAAAAAAAUUCAAACGACUUCUGAUACCAUAAUUAACAGGCUAAUGGUGACGAUAAGUUAAUAAUAGCUAAUAACAGAUGCAAGGAAAUCCGUUGGAUAGUGAGACGUUGGUCAGAUUUUACGCCCAUACGUGCUUUCCGCGAAUACUACCGACUAAUGAGUCAUUGGUAUCAGCUAGCUGCUAGCAUAACAUUCGAUGCGCGUCAUGCAUCCUUCACGCAUUGGAGAAUCAGACGUAUUAAUUGAGAAUGAAGAACAAAAAGAAAGUCGGUCGGACAAUUUCUGCUCUCGUUACUUUGCCAUUGUUACUUAUUACGUAUGACGUAAACUAAAAUAAGGUAAAACUGUUUGCUUAAAAAAAAAAUUAUUUCAAGAUAUAUAAUAAUAUUUGUAUUAUAUCGCGGAUAUAAAAUGCUUUGUGAGAGAAACUUCAGUGACAACGAGAAAAGAAUUAAUCAAUUUCGAUUUUGGAUUAUUUUACGAUGUUUUAAAUGACACGAUGAAUUAAAAAUUCGAUUCAAAACAAUGUUUUAAAACAAUUACGAGGAAUCACAUAUUAAGAAGCUAUAUAUUAAACAGAUUCCAUAUAUUAGAAAGCUUCUAUAAAAAUGGAGCUCCUAUUAUUAUUUAAGCGUUUGCAAAUACGAAAUACUUUCCUCUCGGUGCACACAUUUUAUGUUACCACCCAUUUUCGUUUAUUCAUCAGUAAUGUUAAUAACAUAUUUCACAAAUAUCUUUGUGAAAUAUCUUUUGUCCGAUACUCCACGGGAGUCGUAUUUUGAUUUAAUCGAUACGUUUCCUGCUUUCACGAAGAACACGAAGGAGUAACAUCGCUACGAGGUGUUAUCAACGAUAUUAUUGACAAGUCAGCUCGUUGACACAACGACAGCAUUACCGUUGUCAAUUAAAAGCGUGAAUCUCGGACGAAUUUCGAAGCCGGCUCGGCACAAUGCGCGCUCGAACAUUCGACAAGUGCAAUCGCGCCGCAUUUAGGUGACAAAUUUCGCUGCAUUGUACCACAGCACCGUACUCGCGAUUAAUCUUUUCAUAUGGCGCGACGUACGUUUUCGACUUGAAAUGUCCGCCGUCGUUAAUUCACUGAAGCCUGUCGGCUGAAGCGAAUAAAUGGGCGCGAAUUUUUCGCCCAUAACUCUCUUGGCUACGACAUUGUAAAUAAUCGCGAAUAUUCCGACGCGUGGCUCAGCGUUUCGGGAGCACAUUGUAAUAAGUAAUUUUCCGCGGUUGAAAAAGCUCGAAAACGGCUGUAAAUAUUUACGAUACCGCAUAUAUGACGAAAAAAAAUUGGUGCAUUAUGAAUCAAAGCGACCUUUAUAUUUUCUUCCUUUGAAAAUCUCCCUGCAUUUUUCAUCCCCCUAAGAAAUAUCCCCCGCGAUAGUCAAAUCCAAAUUUUUGGGAGGGGGGAAUCACCCAAGCUGAAGUGACUCGGGGAAAGCUCGGCAAUAAACACGCGAUUACUAGCCGGGAAUUUAAACUGUAAGGUCGAUAAAUUCAACUUUCGAUAGUACGAAUCUCUGAAAGGUUAAGCCGAUCAACUCCAUGAAAUGAACGAGGGAAAGGAAUGACGCAAUUGUUAGGCGUGAUGCACGCACUUUCCGUUCAAAAAUCACGACAUUUUACAAAAAGCGAUCCCGCCGGAUUCCCCCCGGGCGGCGGGAGGGGAAGAGUCAGUCCCACGUCAAUCGCGUGUGGCGUGGUCGUGAAUGAACGUGGACGUCAUUCUCGCGCGUAUACAACAUCCGAGGAUGAUCCUCGCCGGGAUAAACAUCGGAAUCCCGGAGGCAAUGAAAAUACGUUCUUCAUUCAUCGGCGACUCGCCAAUAAGUGACAAGGUCGGCCAUGGUCGCCAUGGACCCGGGUGCGACACACCGGCUCGGUGGUCCGUGACGACGACGACGACGACGACGAAGACGGAACAAUCAACCACGAUAAAGGGGAAGGCGGGGGGGGGGGAGGCUGAUUGGUCAUUCCGGCAAGUAUGUACAUUCGCGAACACCUGUCAGCUCGGAUGCCGAGGCCGAGCGGACGGACGGACGGACGCCUGUCAUUCGCCGGCUCCGCGGUUACGCCUUGUCGGCGACGGAGCCUCCGUUUCUUCCGCUUGUCGCGCGACGAGAGUCCGCGGGGACUGCUGGAGGAGCACCGCCGUGUCGUAACACGCGCCGUAAAAAAUUAAGUACACGCGCGCGUAACUCACGCACGAUCGUAGGGCGUGAGUUACGCGUGCACGACACGACGGCGACGACGACGACGACGACGACACGCGUGUGUCGUCGGUGUAACUUGGCUAUCUGGUGCACCAGAGCAUCGUAUACAUCGUGUACGAAAGGAAAGGGAGGGAGAGAGGGAGGGAGAGUGAGACAGAGAGCGACGAACUAGGCAAGAGUAGUCUCGACCGGAUUCACUCACCGCGACGAGGGCCGCUAAUCUAUCCUUGGUCAUGAUGAAGGGUGACGAGGAAUUCCGAGUCAACGGGCGGUGUACGGAGCGGCGUGUCUAGCGGUGCCGUCCCAACGCGGCGCGCACGCGCCGAUGACGUCAACUUCGUCUCGCAGGUGCGGACAACGCGCGCCACGGCGCCCCGUGCGAAAUGCGAAUUAAACCCCCGUCAACAUCGUCUCGAGAGCCGGACCGAAGAUGAACAACGGGAGAGUCACAGAAUUUUUUUCGGGUCCUUACGUCAUGUUUACACUCAUCGUGUUCCCGAACGCUCGAUUGGCACCAAUUUCAUAUUUCUGUAUUCAAUAAUGUGAUAUAGAUUGACGUCGUAUUUUAAUUCACUUUUAAUUAAUUUAAUAUAAUUUUUGUUUAAAAUAAAAACGUUAUAAUAGAUUUUGUAACACUUAUAUUUAAUUGUAACUAUUUUUAUAAGUAAUAUUAUAUAUUUAUUCAAUAUUUGUACACAGUAUAUUUGUAUAUAGAAAUAUUACAGAAUAAAAAUUAAAAAUAUUAUAUUAUGUUGCAAUAACACUCAUUGCAACGCUUAUUUUUGUUAAUGGCAGAUAAACUUAAAUUGUGAUCUCUAAGUUAAAUGUAUACAAUAAGAUAGUAAAAAGUGAUUAACAAUAA
rnacentral:lncRNA from 1 species